UACGUAGGUGGCAAGCGUUGUCCGGAUUUACUGGGCGUAAAGAGCGCGCAGGCGGUCGUUCAAGUCGCGUGUGAAAGCCCCCGGCUCAACUGGGGAGGGUCACGCGAUACUGAUCGACUCGAAGGCAGGAGAGGGAAGUGGAAUUCCCGGUGUAGUGGUGAAAUGCGUAGAUAUCGGGAGGAACACCAGUGGCGAAGGCGGCUUCCUGGCCUGUUCUUGACGCUGAGGCGCGAAAGCUAGGGGAGCAAAGCGGG
rnacentral:rRNA from 1 species